CAGCCGCCGCGGUAAAACGUAGGUGGCACGCGUUGUCCGGAAUUAUUGGGCGUAAAGGGCUCGCAGGCGGUUUGAUAAGUCUGAAGUUAAAGGCUGUGGCUCAACCAUAGUUCGCUUUGGAAACUGCCAAACUUGAGUGCAGAAGGGGAGAGUGGAAUUCCACGUGUAGCGGUGAAACGCGUAGAGAUGUGGAGGAACACCAGUGGCGAAGGCGACUCUCUGGUCUGUAACUGACGCUGAGGAGCGAAAGCGUGGGGAGCGAACAGGAUUAGAUACCCGAGUAGUCCCUGUCUCUUAUACA
rnacentral:rRNA from 1 species